GAAUUGAAGAGUUUGAUCAUGGCUCAGAUUGAACGCUGGCGGCAGGCCUAACACAUGCAAGUCGAGCGGCAGCACGGGAAGCUUGCUUCCUGGUGGCGAGCGGCGGACGGGUGAGUAAUGCAUAGAAAUCUGCCCGGUAGUGGGGGAUAACCUGGGGAAACCCAGGCUAAUACCGCAUACGUCCUACGGGAGAAAGCAGGGGAUCUUCGGACCUUGCGCUAUCGGAUGAGUCUAUGUCGGAUUAGCUUGUUGGUGAGGUAAUGGCUCACCAAGGCGACGAUCCGUAGCUGGUCUGAGAGGAUGAUCAGCCACAUCGGGACUGAGACACGGCCCGAACUCCUACGGGAGGCAGCAGUGGGGAAUAUUGGACAAUGGGCGCAAGCCUGAUGCAGCCAUGCCGCGUGUGUGAAGAAGGCCCUCGGGUUGUAAAGCAC
rnacentral:rRNA from 1 species